rnacentral:lncRNA from 1 species
CCCGGCGGCGGCGGCGGCUCCCGGCGGCUGUGCGGUGCGGAGCGGAGCGGCAGGCAGCGGGCGGCAGCUGUGCUGUGCUGUGCUGUGCUGUGCUGUGCUGCGCGGGGCGGUGCGGAGAGGAGAGGACAGGAGAGGAGAGGAGAGGAGCGGCUCGGUGGGCGGCGGGCGGCCCCCGCCCCGGGGCCGGCGCCGACGCCACCUCCUGCGGCGGCGGGGGGGGGGGCUGCCGCCUGGGGCCUCGCCCGCGCCUUCGCCUGCGGCCCCGCGGCGCAGGGCUCCCUCGGGAGCGACGGCCGGCGCUGCCCGAGAUCCUCGCUGGGAGAGCGAGAGGGAGCCUCGCGAACGGGGCUGCCUCUUUAAAAAGUUAACAAAAACCAAAAGUUACGACACUGACAUCACCUUUCACAUUUUGGUCACAGAAUUAGAGAUUCUGCAGACCCUUAAGGUACAGGAACAUUAACAGCAAAAUCCCCAUUUCUGCCAGACCUUCGGAAAUUCCAAUAGAAGGAGCCAAGUCUACAUUUCCUAACUCUUCUGACUUGGAUCCAGCUCCUCUGAAAUCAUAUGGCAUGAGCCCUGGAAAGGAAGAUGAGGAGAACUGUUCCAUUCAAUCAGAACCACAGCACCAGCCACUGUUAUUCCCACUCUGUGUGCUGGAUCCCUUUCAAACAGAGAUGCAGAGCUGGAUUUGGAACGCGAUAGCUGCUAGAAUGCUUUACUGUCUUUUUGCUGUACAUUUUGGACCACAGUGUUUAUGUGCUCACCUGCAAAUUUUAUGCCUGCAUUUGAAAAUUGUAUAUUCUGCGGAGCCCAUAUCAUGACUUAACAGAUUGGCAGUCACCAGGCCGUUGCCUGGAAUCCUUGAACAAGAGCCUAUGCCUAAGCGCAGUUUCUGCACUGCCGA